rnacentral:rRNA from 1 species
CAGUAGCGUAUAUUAAAGUUGUUGCAGUUAAAAAGCUCGUAGUUGGAUUUGUGGCGUACGGUGUGUUCCGGGCACUUGUUGUCUGAGUAACCUGCUGUUGCCAUCCUUGGGUGGAACCUGUGUGGCAUUAGGUUGUCGUGCAGGGGAUGCCCAUCAUUUACUGUGAAAAAAUUAGAGUGUUCAAAGCAGGCUUAUGCCGUUGAAUAUAUUAGCAUGGAAUAAUGAGAUAGGACUUUUUUGCUAUUUUGUUGGUUUGCGCAAAGAGGUAAUGAUUAAUAGGGACAGUUGGGGGUAUUCGUAUUCCAUUGUCAGAGGUGAAAUUCUUGGAUUUUUGGAAGACGAACUACUGCGAAAGCAUUUACCAAGGAUGUUUUCAUUAA